rnacentral:rRNA from 1 species
CCCUUAGAUGUUCUGGGCCGCACGCGCGCUACACUGAUGCAUUCAACAAGUUCACCUUGGCCGAGAGGCUUGGGCAAUCUUUUGAACAUGCAUCGUGAUAGGGAUAGAUUAUUGCAAUUAUUAAUCUUGAACGAGGAAUUCCUAGUAAACGUAGAUCAUCAAUCUGCAUUGAUUACGUCCCUGCCCUUUGUACACACCGUCCGUCGCACCUACCGAUUGAAUGGUCCGGUGAAGCCUCGAGAUUGUGGCCAGCUCGCUUUAUUGGGAGUUGGUUGCGAGAACUUGUCUAAACCUUAUCAUUUAGAGGAAGGUGAAGUCGUAACA